rnacentral:rRNA from 1 species
AUUGAACGCUGGCGGCAUGCUUUACACAUGCAAGUCGAACGGUAACAGGGUGCUUGCACCGCUGACGAGUGGCGAACGGGUGAGUAAUGCGUCGGAACGUGCCGAGUAGUGGGGGAUAACGCAUCGAAAGGUGUGCUAAUACCGCAUACGUACUGAGGUAGAAAGUGGGGGACCUUCGGGCCUCACGCUAUUCGAGCGGCCGGCGUCUGAUUAGCUAGUUGGUGAGGUAAAGGCUCACCAAGGCGACGAUCAGUAGCGGGUCUGAGAGGAUGAUCCGCCACGCUGGGACUGAGACACGGCCCAGACUCCUACGGGAGGCAGCAGUGGGGAAUUUUGGACAAUGGGCGCAAGCCUGAUCCAGCCAUGCCGCGUGUCUGAAGAAGGCCUUCGGGUUGUAAAGGACUUUUGUCCGGGAGCAAAUGCCUGGUGUUAAUAGCACUGGGAGCUGAGAGUACCGGAAGAAUAAGCACCGGCUAACUACGUGCCAGCAGCCGCCGUAACAC